rnacentral:tRNA from 1 species
GGGCCAAUAGCUCAGGUGGUUAGAGCGCACCCCUGAUAAGGGUGAGGUCGCUAGUUCAAGUCUAGCUUGGCCCACCA